rnacentral:rRNA from 1 species
UACGUAGGUGGCAAGCGUUAUCCGGAAUUAUUGGGCGUAAAGCGCGCGCAGGCGGUUUCUUAAGUCUGAUGUGAAAGCCCACGGCUCAACCGGGGAGGGUCAUUGGAAACUGGGGAACUUGAGUGCAGAAGAGAAAAGCGGAAUUCCACGUGUAGCGGUGAAAUGCGUAGAUAUUGGGAGGAACACCAGUGGCGAAGGCGGCUCACUGGACCGGGUCUGACGCUGAUGCGCGAAAGCGCGGGGAGCAAACCGG